UCCAGACUCCUACGGGAGGCAGCAGUGGGGAAUAUUGGACAAUGGGGGGAACCCUGAUCCAGCGACGCCGCGUGGGUGAAGGAGCGUUUCGGCGCGUAAAGCCCUAUCGGCAGGGAAGAAGGAGGACGGUACCUGACUAAGAAGCCCCGGCUAACUUCGUGCCAGCAGCCGCGGUAAUACGUAGGGGGCAAGCGUUAUCCGGAUUUACUGGGUGUAAAGGGGGCGCAGACGGCAGCGCAAGCCAGGAGUGAAAGCCCGGGGCCCAACCCCGGGACUGCUCUUGGAACUGCGCGGCUGGAGUGCAGGAGGGGCAGGCGGAAUUCCUGGUGUAGCGGUGAAAUGCGUAGAUAUCAGGAGGAACACCGGUGGCGAAGGCGGCCUGCUGGACUGCGACUGACGUUGAGGCCCGAAAGCGUGGGGAGCAAACAGGAUUAGAUACCCUGGUA
rnacentral:rRNA from 1 species